AGUCAGUUCAGGGGAAUAGGGUGUCUGGCUAUAUAUGUGAUAAGUUAACUUGUGCUGCUAAUCAACGAGUUACAUCAGAAAUUAAAUAGUGUAGCUAUUCCGAGGUGUGUAUCCAGACUGGCUGAUCUUGUGCUUCUGAUAAUGUUGGUGGAACUUCUGGAAAGAGAUGCAAGGUGAUCUUCUAACCAGACAAAGACAAACAUGGCUACCUCGACGUCGCUUCUCCCAAGUUCUAACUAUUUGUCCAAAUAUGGAAAAAAUGAGAUCAUAACUAGUUGAUGAGGGCAAAACUUGCAAGUGGACAAUGGACAUCAAACCAAAGACUUCAGAUGAUUCCUCUGCAGGCAUUUAUCCCAUACCUUUUCCUCAUUUUCCCUGUUUUGAACUUGAAAUAUCAACUUAACAUUAUCUUCAUGAUGCAAAAUGACGAGACUGAAGGGAGAGUCAAACAGCCACAAGAUCACAAGAUAUUUGGGGAGAGUACAUCAAUAUGACCAAUCUUAAUUCAUCUAGCACUUAUUGUAUUAUUUGUUUGGAUUCUUAUGUGGCUCUUGAGUUUUUGUCAUUUGUCAUUUUGUCAUUUUGACAUUUAAGCAACUCUUGGAUAGGCACGUGGAUGAUAGUAUA